rnacentral:rRNA from 1 species
GAGUUUGAUCGUGGCUCAGAUUGAACGCUGGCGGCAUGCCUUACACAUGCAAGUCGAACGGCAGCACGGGAGCUUGCUCCUGGUGGCGAGUGGCGAACGGGUGAGUGAUGCAUCGGAACGUAUCCUGGAGUGGGGGAUAACGUAGCGAAAGUUACGCUAAUACCGCAUAUUCUGUGAGCAGGAAAGCGGGGGACCUUCGGGCCUCGCGCUCUUGGAGCGGCCGAUGUCGGAUUAGCUAGUUGGUGAGGUAAAGGCUCACCAAGGCGACGAUCCGUAGCAGGUCUGAGAGGAUGAUCUGCCACACUGGAACUGAGACACGGUCCAGACUCCUACGGGAGGCAGCAGUGGGGAAUUUUGGACAAUGGGGGCAACCCUGAUCCAGCCAUGCCGCGUGAGUGAAGAAGGCCUGGUU